UGGACGAAAGUCUGACGGAGCAACGCCGCGUGAGUGAUGAAGGCUUUCGGGUCGUAAAACUCUGUUGUUAGGGAAGAACAAGUACGAGAGUAACUACUCGUACCUUGACGGUACCUAACCAGAAAGCCACGGCUAACUACGUGCCAGCAGCCGCGGUAAUACGUAGGUGGCAAGCGUUAUCCGGAAUUAUUGGGCGUAAAGCGCGCGCAGGCGGUUUCUUAAGUCUGAUGUGAAAGCCCACGGCUCAACCGUGGAGGGACAUUGGAAACUGGGGAACUUGAGUGCAGAAGAGAAAAGCGGAAUUCCACGUGUAGCGGUGAAAUGCGUAGAGAUGUGGAGGAACACCAGUGGCGAAGGCGGCUUUUUGGUCUGUAACUGACGCUGAGGCGCGAAAGCGUGGGGAGCAAACAGGAUUAGAUACCCUGGUAGUCCACGCCGUAAACGAUGAGUGCUAAGUGUUAGAGGGUUUCCGCCCUUUAGUGCUGCAGCUAACGCAUUAAGCACUCCGCCUGGGGAGUACGGU
rnacentral:rRNA from 1 species